rnacentral:rRNA from 1 species
AACCGCACAGAGUCAAACUGGUGGAUCCGCAGAGUCCGCGCGGGGAAUUCAGCCCGGCAGGCGGGCGCGCGUGGCGGCCGAGAUUCGUCUCGGAGUUGGCCGUCGCGCUGCGUACUCGCAGGCAGGGUGCACUUUCCCCGGCUAGCGGAGAGCCACGACCGGUUCGGUGGCGGUCAGGAGCCCGGAGGGAAGGUAGCCCUGCGCGGAGCAAUCCGAUGCAGGAACUUACAGCCCUCCGAGGUGGACCCGUCGCUGGACCGAGGAUGCCGCCGCGGCCACACGCCGCGGGUCGUCCGGGCGCGUUCGACUUUGGCCACGCUGCUCGCAGCGAGUCGAGACCGCGUGCCUGGUACGGAUUCGCGCGCGUGGGUCGCUCAGGGUCAGUGGCGAAUCGGUCGGCAACCCACCAGACCCGUCUUGAAACACGGACCAAGGAGUCUAGCAUGUGCGCGAGUCACGGGGUCUCACGAAACCCAAGGGCGCAAUGAAAGUAAAGGCCGCCUCCGGCUGGCCCAGGCAAGAUCCCGAGUCGUUCGGGACGAGGGCGCACUGCCGGCCCGUCUCGCUGGCAUCGACCACGAGGCGGAGCAAGAGCGCACACGCUGG